rnacentral:rRNA from 1 species
AGCGGCGAGCGAACGGGGAGGAGCCCAGAGCCUGAAUCAGUGUGUGUGUUAGUGGAAGCGUCUGGAAAGGCGCGCGAUACAGGGUGACAGCCCCGUACACAAAAAUACACAUAUUGUGAGCUCGAUGAGUAGGGCGGGACACGUGGUAUCCUGUCUGAAUAUGGGGGGACCAUCCUCCAAGGCUAAAUACUCCUGACUGACCGAUAGUGAACCAGUACCGUGAGGGAAAGGCGAAAAGAACCCCGGCGAGGGGAGUGAAAAAGAACCUGAAACCGUGUACGUACAAGCAGUGGGAGCACGCUUAGGCGUGUGACUGCGUACCUUUUGUAUAAUGGGUCAGCGACUUAUAUUCUGUAGCAAGGUUAACCGAAUAGGGGAGCCGAAGGGAAACCGAGUCUUAACUGGGCGUUAAGUUGCAGGGUAUAGACCCGAAACCCGGUGAUCUAGCCAUGGGCAGGUUGAAGGUUGGGUAACACUAACUGGAGGACCGAACCGACUAAUGUUGAAAAAUUAGCGGAUGACUUGUGGCUGGGGGUGAAAGGCCAAUCAAACCGGGAGAUAGCUGGUUCUCCCCGAAAGCUAUUUAGGUAGCGCCUCGUGAAUUCAUCUCCGGGGGUAGAGCACUGUUUCGGCAAGGGGGUCAUCCCGACUUACCAACCCGAUGCAAACUGCGAAUACCGGAGAAUGUUAUCACGGGAGACACACGGCGGGUGCUAACGUCCGUCGUGAAGAGGGAAACAACCCAGACCGCCAGCUAAGGUCCCAAAGUCAUGGUUAAGUGGGAAACGAUGUGGGAAGGCCCAGACAGCCAGGAUGUUGGCUUAGAAGCAGCCAUCAUUUAAAGAAAGCGUAAUAGCUCACUGGUCGAGUCGGCCUGCGCGGAAGAUGUAACGGGGCUAAACCAUGCACCGAAGCUGCGGCAGCGACGCUUAUGCGUUGUUGGGUAGGGGAGCGUUCUGUAAGCCUGCGAAGGUGUGCUGUGAGGCAUGCUGGAGGUAUCAGAAGUGCGAAUGCUGACAUAAGUAACGAUAAAGCGGGUGAAAAGCCCGCUCGCCGGAAGACCAAGGGUUCCUGUCCAACGUUAAUCGGGGCAGGGUGAGUCGACCCCUAAGGCGAGGCCGAAAGGCGUAGUCGAUGGGAAACAGGUUAAUAUUCCUGUACUUGGUGUUACUGCGAAGGGGGGACGGAGAAGGCUAUGUUGGCCGGGCGACGGUUGUCCCGGUUUAAGCGUGUAGGCUGGUUUUCCAGGCAAAUCCGGAAAAUCAAGGCUGAGGCGUGAUGACGAGGCACUACGGUGCUGAAGCAACAAAUGCCCUGCUUCCAGGAAAAGCCUCUAAGCAUCAGGUAACAUCAAAUCGUACCCCAAACCGACACAGGUGGUCAGGUAGAGAAUACCAAGGCGCUUGAGAGAACUCGGGUGAAGGAACUAGGCAAAAUGGUGCCGUAACUUCGGGAGAAGGCACGCUGAUAUGUAGGUGAAGUCCCUUGCGGAUGGAGCUGAAAUCAGUCGAAGAUACCAGCUGGCUGCAACUGUUUAUUAAAAACACAGCACUGUGCAAACACGAAAGUGGACGUAUACGGUGUGACGCCUGCCCGGUGCCGGAAGGUUAAUUGAUGGGGUCAGCGCAAGCGAAGCUCUUGAUCGAAGCCCCGGUAAACGGCGGCCGUAACUAUAACGGUCCUAAGGUAGCGAAAUUCCUUGUCGGGUAAGUUCCGACCUGCACGAAUGGCGUAAUGAUGGCCAGGCUGUCUCCACCCGAGACUCAGUGAAAUUGAACUCGCUGUGAAGAUGCAGUGUACCCGCGGCAAGACGGAAAGACCCCGUGAACCUUUACUAUAGCUUGACACUGAACAUUGAGCCUUGAUGUGUAGGAUAGGUGGGAGGCUUUGAAGUGUGGACGCCAGUCUGCAUGGAGCCGGCCUUGAAAUACCACCCUUUAAUGUUUGAUGUUCUAACGUGGACCCGUGAUCCGGGUUGCGGACAGUGUCUGGUGGGUAGUUUGACUGGGGCGGUCUCCUCCUAAAGAGUAACGGAGGAGCACGAAGGUUGGCUAAUCCUGGUCGGACAUCAGGAGGUUAGUGCAAUGGCAUAAGCCAGCUUGACUGCGAGCGUGACGGCGCGAGCAGGUGCGAAAGCAGGUCAUAGUGAUCCGGUGGUUCUGAAUGGAAGGGCCAUCGCUCAACGGAUAAAAGGUACUCCGGGGAUAACAGGCUGAUACCGCCCAAGAGUUCAUAUCGACGGCGGUGUUUGGCACCUCGAUGUCGGCUCAUCACAUCCUGGGGCUGAAGUAGGUCCCAAGGGUAUGGCUGUUCGCCAUUUAAAGUGGUACGCGAGCUGGGUUUAGAACGUCGUGAGACAGUUCGGUCCCUAUCUGCCGUGGGCGCUGGAGAACUGAGGGGGGCUGCUCCUAGUACGAGAGGACCGGAGUGGACGCAUCACUGGUGUUCGGGUUGUCAUGCCAAUGGCACUGCCCGGUAGCUAAAUGCGGAAGAGAUAAGUGCUGAAAGCAUCUAAGCACGAAACUUGCCCCGAGAUGAGUUCUCCCUGACCCUUUAAGGGUCCUGAAGGAACGUUGAAGACGACGACGUUGAUAGGCCGGGUGUGUAAGCGCAGCGAUGCGUUGAGCUAACCGGUACUAAUGAACCGUGAGG